rnacentral:lncRNA from 1 species
AUUUGUGUUUACCAACGCCCAAUCGAUCCACAUACCCCAACAAGUGGUAUCAGAGCGAGGUUAGAGGCGUUGGUCGAGUUUUUAGGUGACGGGCCUUUUCGGAGCUUUGCUCGAAAUUCAAUUCUGACGGCACCAUUGGAUUCGUCUCGUCGAACGGAGUCCAACGCACCAAACGGCGACCCAAUCGGAGUUCAAACGAGCUCAGAAAUCGCGGUCAAAGUUUGGUUAACUUUGCCGGAGGUUCGCCGAGAACUCGCCGGAGAAGACGACGGUCAACUGUAGCGAACCAGUCAACUCUCUGAAAUUGCAGAUUGGUCCCUCAACUUUCAAAAAUNCCAUUGUAUUCGUCUCGUCGAACGGAGUCCAACGCACCAAACGGCGACCCAAUCGGAGUUCAAACGAGCUCAGAAAUCGCGGUCAAAGUUUGGUUAACUUUGCCGGAGGUUCGCCGAGAACUCGCCGGAGAAGACGAUGGUAAACUGUAGCGAACCAGCCAACUCUCUGAAAUUGCAUAUUGGUCCCUCAACUUUCAAAAAAUACAGUUUUACCCCUAUAGUGAAAUUUCAGCCACGAAGUGUCAAUUCCACCAUUUUCAACCGUUCCGGACGCAACGGUGAACUCCGUGUUUAAAA